UCUAGGUAUGGUUAGCUGACGCGAGCAUCCAAACUAAAGAAAAAUGAGUAAUUCGAAAUGAAGUUAAGAGACACUAUGUUAUUUUUGAACCCUUUCCACUAGAGCAACAAGUUUUGCGUGUAAAGUUGUACUUUGCGACUCGAUUUGCUUGCGUCACCCAGCGGUGAGCCAAUGACACGCCAGACGCACGACGGAAGCCUGCACGGUCGCACGCGCGGUAGAAGUGCUGUUUUUCUUUUCUUAUUUCGCGUAAAUCGCGCAAACUCUGUUCUAGCGACGUCUUUGUGGGUCCCUGCUGCUCUUCGGCGUGGCGCUCCUGCGGUACUUGACGAGGGCAAGGACAUUCCGGCGGCUUGUGGUUCGAACAAAGCAGGGAUGGAGAGCCAGGUCGAGCUGCGUUUACCAGCAGACGAAGACAUUCCGGUGGCUCGUGGUCCGAAUAAAGCAGGGACGGACAGCCGGGUCAAGCUGCGUUUUCCAGCAGACGAAGUGAGACCACUGCAUGCAACUGUAUCGACGUAAUUACGCGCAGUCGGCAUUCCGCGUAGAAGCUUAGUUCACGGGACAGUCCAAGGCCUGGUGCGUAGAGGAUGGGGCCGCUCUGCUUAAGGAACAGGGUUCGUUACCAGCCUGCGGACCAACUUGUGUCACUGAAUUUUAACGGUUGUGUGUGUGAUCCCCAAGUGCCUGCUGCGUAUAUUGGUGCCCAUACCCUUUUCAAGGAUAGCGCGGCCACUGGACCUGGCGGCCAGCAGUUAUUGAGCACCGCUAUAUCGAUGCCCAUCCUGUGGGCCAGCUGGUCGGCUCGUCAAUCGGCCUGGUGUCUUGGUGCUCGCACUGCACACUUGGUGGUCCUCUGUUCUGGAGGCCUGGUGACUCCCCAUGCCAUGGACCUGGUGGCCAGCCGCUCUAGCUACCUGGUGUCAUGCUGCCCGCUCUGCUCGCCUGGUACCCAGGUAUUUUAGCGGUCUGGUAUCUUGCUGCCCGCCUUGCGGACCAAGUGGACUGCAGUCCAGGCAGGCAGCCUGGCUUGUUGUUGCCUGCCCUGCGGAACUGGCGGCCAGAUACUCUGGCGACAUGGUCUGCUGCUGAUCAAGAAUCGGGCUUGCGGUAUAGACUCGCAUGAGAAAAAAGGUCGUUGCUUUCUAUCACAAUUUCUUUAUAAAAGACUGCUGGUUGGGUUAGUUGGUGGUUUAACAUUUUUAAAAUUAGUGACUCGGCUGACUUACUACCCUUCUGUUUAGUUUAGGCCAUUUCCCUGUAUAUAAAUGUCCCACUCGACUCAAUAGGCGGUUAUGUAGGCAACCCCGAUAUCGCGGCUUGCUUUCGCCUAGGCUACCGUUUUACAUUUAUCCAUGCCUGUGCUUGCACAGAAGAGUGCUUACCUGCUUUCCGCUGUAUAAUAUGAAUGAACCGUACAAAAAAGCUCACGCGCAAACCCUUCUCAAACUUCACUCGAUUCAUGAUAGGUUUGUCUGUCUAUCUUUCGGCUUGUUAAUCCGUAUCUGAGUUCUUUAACUCCACCUUGGGUCAGAGAGUAGUCCAUGGUCUGAUGUAUGCAACAUCGGGAAGCUGCGCUAAGUCAACAGGAUUCGCGACCAACCUUCAGACCAACUUGUGUCACUGAAUUUGUGACAGCCUGUGCCGCUUUUCAAUGAACUUAUUCAAUGCUACCUUGGGUCGCUGGAUAUGUACCAUUAGCUACGUGGCACUCAUCAACGAACCUUUCUUGGCGCUAACAAGGGUUACUGGGUUGUUUUAGCAGCCUGGUGUCUUAGUCCCUCUCCUGCGGGCCUGGUGUUCAGCAUGUACAGUGCUCUGGUAUCUUGCUGCCCGCCAUGUGGACCUGGUGCUCAGCUCUUCCAUCGGCCUGGUGUCUCACUGCCCGCUUUGCGGAUCUGGUGACCACCUGUUCUUGCGAAGUGGUAUCACGCUGCCCAUCCUGCAGACCUGGCGGCCAGCUGUUCCGGUAACCUGGUAGACCUGACUUCUGUAGCAGCGAGGUGAACAUCUCCUGCAGCAUACUCAUGUCAAGCCACAUGUAGCAGUUGCGAGCAACGUAGGUGACACAGUGUUCAUGCCACUGGCAAGGCUGGAGCACACUCUGUUGUCCUCGCGCAGCCGGAUGCUACACUUUGGAUGUCAGUUGGCCAGGAUGUCCAGCAAGUUCCAGAGCAGCGUGCUCCCAAAGGAUCUCGAAGGAUCUCCCAACCACGGACUUCGGAGAAUCCCUCGAUCUGAAGCAACCUGGUGCGCGAGCCACCGAACAGCCGCUGACCCAGACUGGAGAGGUUCAGCUCGAACGCCAGGUCUCGAACUUGCGUCAGAGAGGCCACUUUCACUGUCACGACGACGUGGCCAUUCGCACCGUUGCUGAAAAUUACGACAAACGCGUGGUUCCGCACACAAAAAUAAAGUUUGCAAACACCGCUGACCAGAAGCCCAGAAGACGAAGACAACGACGAUGACGACGUGUAACGCCCAUGACGUGCAAGAUCGCUCACACUUCACGUACCACGGCUCCAACUAAUAAGUAUCUGCGAGUCAAUCUAAUCUAAUAAGUCAGGUAGGUCUUGACUAGGCUGAGCAAAGUUUGAGGUGGGUCAUCGAAAUAGUGCACCGAUAACAUGGCGACUUCCCGAGUUAUACAAUUGAUAGAGGCAGAGGAAAGGCAAGGAGCGGAAUGUUGGUGAAUGCAUGAAUAUCUGAACGGAAAACCACGUACGACUGCAAAACUUGGCGAUGUUCACAGGAGCGCAUGCUAUUCGCCUGCUACGUUUUUUUCCAACCCACCAAGGUGGUUCAGGACCAUUUUAAACCUGUGACACAACGCACCUUCUGUAUACUGCGCCGUUUGCGGCUUCUAAAUUCAAAUUUGUGCAGGUAAAACGUUAUGAGCUAUAUUCGUGGAAGCCAAGUUUCGGUUUACCAACUACAGCGCUAAUUAUCUUUACUCACAAAUUCUACUAUCUUUAGUACAAGUUUGCACUGCAUAGCGUGAAAUCAAAAUUCUACGAAUUUAGAACUGUUUUUGAGAAUUGCAGGUUUAAGUACUCCCAAGUACUGUUCGUUUCAGUGGUUGGUGCUUUGAACAGCAAACUCGACAAAGUAGGUAUCUGAAAACUGCAGCCAUGAACAACGAAGCCUGGAGUGAGACACGUGACUUCCACUGCAGUAUUUACAGUGCGCAUUCACAUGGCACAGGAUGGGUACGUUAGAGAAAAUGAGGGAUGCCUUAUCGCGUGCCGCUCCCAACUGGCGUAUGUGCAAUCGCCGUAUAACAAUCAAUCAAUGAAUCAAUCAAUCGAUCAGUCAGUCAGUCAAUCAAACAUGCUUGUUUUGCAGGAAGUACACAAAACUUUCCUGCGGUAGGCAGACUAAAGGCGAGAAAGCCUGACGAGGUCUUGGCCCCCUGAAGGAUCAGCCACUCGAAUGCCCGCAUGCAUUGCAUGUACUUUCGGGCUGUCUUGUGGCUUUAUCGCGUGCUUUUCUUUUGGGUGCUCCACCCUCUUGGUAAGAACAGGUGUGCGUGGUGAUUAGCCCAACGCUUUGUUAAUGCUGUUUGAAGUUUCUGCGUCUAGAAUCGCUGCUUCCUUUCCUCGUGCAGCUACCGUCUUUAAGCUCUUACGGACGCUCUCACGAUUUACGAGUUGCCGCUAAGACGUUCUGAAAGUGUUUCGAUUUCCGUGCCAUUGUUGAUUUCGAACGUACGCGACGCAAAAUCGCAACGUAUUUUCGUCCUCACUGCGUCGUGUGCGCAUGUGCGCUGCAUAAAGAAGAUUCGUUUGCUUAUAGGCGGUGUGCGUAUGUCCAAACGAUACA